UACCUGGUUGAUCCUGCCAGUAGUCAWAUGCUUGU
rnacentral:rRNA from 1 species